UUUAUGGCUUUUCGAAGGCACUUUAUAUUUUUGUAUAUAAAUGUGUUCAAAAACAAGCCGAAAUAAAAGUGAUUACGACGGUCGCAGAGGACUUUUUAAUGAGUAACUUUGCAAUUAAUUUCGAAUCAGACAAUU
rnacentral:snoRNA from 1 species